CCGCUGCCCCCGCACUCCUUGGAGGCCGACACGCUCAGGAACCUCUUCCCGACCAGCACCGGCCAACUUUCUCCGAGCGACCGUGGGGUUCUAGAUCUAGAGAUGCCAGGGACCUCAAAAGUUAGCGAGCUCAACCCCUCAUUCUACAGAUGGGAGAGACUGAAGCCUGAAGAGGGAAGGAAACAAGAUUAAUUUUUAAAAUGCAAAGAUGUAGUGCUAUCCCAAGGAACUUCCAUGCCCCUAGAAGACCUCCCCUGAUUCCUGGGGCUCUCCAGGCAGGUCUCCACCCUGAAGAGAUGCUAAAAGCUGCCCAGGGAUUGGGAGUGGGUGGACCCCACUGAACAAGCAUUCCUGCAACUGCAGAGGAGGCUCACCUGAGCCCCAAAUGCCCUGUUGUGCCAUGUGCUAACACCUCUGGAGGAGUGAGGGCGUCAUCUCUGCACAGACAGACCUGCACGUGGGCCUGACGGGACCCUCCACCCGCCAGGAUGAUAAAGGCCGCUGGGUGCCCUGGAUCGUGUGUCCUGCUUGGACCCGGGAAGACCUCCGUUUACCUCCUCCUACCUCUGACAACUUACCAGCCACGUGAUGAUGGGCAAUUUAAUGGUGAUGAUGGUCACUGAAUGGCACUGGGCCUCAGUUUCUUCAUCUAGAAAAGGGGAUGAUAAUACCUUUCAGGGUGGUUAUAGGGCUGAUCGCAGAUGAUGAGUGUGAAAUGCUUUACAAGCUCAAAGUAAGACAUAUGUAGAGUGAGAUAAUUAAUAAUAGUAAUAAUGAUGAUAAUAACUAGGAUUUUGUAGAGCUUUUAGGUUUGCAAACA